rnacentral:rRNA from 1 species
UACGAAGGGGGCUAGCGUUGCUCGGAAUCACUGGGCGUAAAGGGUGCGUAGGCGGGUCUUUAAGUCAGGGGGUGAAAUCCUGGAGCUCAACUCCAGAACUGCCUUUGAUACUGAGGAUCUUGAGUUCGGGGGAGGUGAGUGGAACUGCGAGUGUAGAGGUGAAAUUCGUAGAUAUUCGCAAGAACACCAGUGGCGAAGGCGGCUCACUGGCCCGAUACUGACGCUGAGGCACGAAAGCGUGGGGAGCAAACAGG